CACGCCCUAAACGAUGUUUACUUGCUGUUUGUCCUUCGGGAUGAGUGGCGAAGCGAAAGCGCUAAGUAAACCACCUGGGGAGUACGCCGGCAACGGUGAAACUCAAAGGAAUUGACGGGG
rnacentral:rRNA from 1 species